UACGUAGGGUGCGAGCGUUGUCCGGAAUUAUUGGGCGUAAAGGGCUCGUAGGCGGUUUGUUACGUCUGGUGUGAAAACCCAGGGCUCAACCCUGGGCCUGCUUCCGAUACGGGCAGACUAGAGGUAUGCAGGGGAGAAUGGAAUUCCUGGUGUAGCGGUGAAAUGCGCAGAUAUCAGGAGGAACACCGGUGGCGAAGGCGGUUCUCUGGGCAUUACCUGACGCUGAGGAGCGAAAGUGUGGGGAGCGAACAGG
rnacentral:rRNA from 1 species